GCAGUUUAAUUUCUUUGUUUGUUCUUGAAUUGACGUAGAAUGGAGCAAAGGCUCAUGGGAUUGGGAAAUGCGUUUAUCCAAUAAACAGAUGGAGGUCAAGUCUAUUUAUUAAAUUAAUUUUUGAUUAAAACCGUGCAUUCUGUGUGAAUGUGUAUUUGAAUGUUAACAUUUCGUUUUUAGUUAUGUAAUCAUUUGAAAGUCCCUUCAAGUUGAAAAAGCACAUGCAUUCUUAUUAUGGCCACACCUGGCGUACUAAAUCAACUGUGAUCAGAUUGGUUAAAAAAUAGAGGCUGCGUGUGAUUUCAGUUCCGGUUCAAUGCAUUUGUAAUGAGGGGGCGCACUUCUGUGCAGUGUGCACAUUAGUCGUCGUUGCCAGCAGGCUGCACCCGACAGCCAAGGGAUUUACAUGUGGCAUAGCAAGUCUCUGAAGCAGUGUCUCACACUCGAGUCCUGACCGAGGGCCUUGAAACUGGCAUGCCUGUUCAAAACAUCUCCAGGACAACAAGAAGAUGAAGGAGAAUGCGUGCAGUGGGCUGAAUAGAGAAUUCGUGAAUCAAAGGCAACACCAUCAAAUGCAUUAUGAAAUUAAGCACUAUCAGGUUGUCAAGGCUGUAGCUCAGCGGGCACAUGGUCCUGGAUACCUGAUAUAUAUAUAUAUUUUUUUUUAACUAUUUAUAUAUGGAAUCUGAAUGCACUCCAAGAAAUGCUGCAGUUCUUUGGGCCACAAGAGGCCAAGAAGCUCUACUACAAGAAGUUAAGGCAGAAGAUGAAGAUUAUUACAAAUUAUCCAAGUCAGUUCCGACCAAGUAAUUUGAUUGGACAAGAGGCAUUCCAGUGCUGAUAUAGAGUAUAACAGCACUGGGUCUUUUAACUAUACACGUAUCGCUCCCCUUUACGGGUGUUCUCAUAACCGUUAAUGUUAUUAACAAUCUUUUUGUAGCUUAGAUUGCAGCUAACUUUGCACAGCAAAUAUGAACAUGUUUCCAGGAAUAACAUUGGAGUUGAAUUAAGAAUGGUCGCCAGAAGAGGACCAAGGGAACCUAAUGUAAUGCUAAUGUGUUAAUGUGUUGCUUGGCAACAGUUUGACCAGUUGCGGAUCUAUUUGUGUUGGCGGAGCCAAAUAAAUCAUCAAUGAACCAAAGAAAUCUGAUCAUAAUAUGUUGUUAAUUAUUAUUGUUAACUAAUGAUUGGUGCUUGUAGAACUGUUGUAUAAAAGCAAUAUCACUCAGGAGGGAGUGCUUUUGUACUACGGCUGGGAUUCGGUCGUAGGUAUGAGGCCGUUGGCCGAGUGCCGAAGAGAAUCACAGCCGUGCUGAUAUUCAGUACAACAGCACUCUCGUGUGAUAUUGCUUAAUUAUUCUGUUCCCAAAUUCCAUAAAAAGUCUGAUUACUAAGAAAUAUUGAUGUAUCAUUACUUUUGUCAGUUUCAAGUUUUUGUUUUAACACAGGUGUACCAACAAUGUGUAUGAUGUAUGACUACCUAAGCUGUACAUGUCUUUAAAGAUAUUGAUGCAGAUAUUUCCACAUUUACAUUUCUCAGUGCAAAUGGGUUUUUGAAUAAGUUUCUGAAACUAGUGCUUUGAGAUGUUUGAGAUAACAAACAUUUAAUAUGUUGGAAAUAUUUUUGGUCGCUGGUCAGCUUAAUAUUUAAUAUAUUGUUUCUUAUGGCACAUUAACGAGAAUGUCAAACUGGCACUGAAUGUUGAAAGGUUGCUGACCCCUGGUUACUGUAUUCCCUCUCC
ensembl:lncRNA